rnacentral:rRNA from 1 species
UACGUAGGGUGCGAGCGUUAAUCGGAAUUACUGGGCGUAAAGUGUGCGCAGGCGGCCGAGCAAGUCGAGUGUGAAAGCCCCGAGCUUAACUUGGGAACUGCACUCGAAACUACUUGGCUAGAGUGUGGCAGAGGGAGGUGGAAUUCCACGUGUAGCGGUGAAAUGCGUAGAGAUGUGGAGGAACACCGAUGGCGAAGGCAGCCUCCUGGGCCAACACUGACGCUCAUGCACGAAAGCGUGGGGAGCAAACAGG